GACGAACGCUGGCGGCGUGCCUAAUACAUGCAAGUCGAGCGGACGAAUCGAAAGCUUGCUUUUGAUUCGUUAGCGGCGGACGGGUGAGUAACACGUGGGCAACCUGCCCUGUAGACGGGGAUAACACCGAGAAAUCGGUGCUAAUACCGGAUAACACGAAAUGUCGCAUGACGUUUCGUUGAAAGACGGCGCAAGCUGUCGCUACAGGAUGGGCCCGCGGCGCAUUAGCUAGUUGGUGAGGUAACGGCUCACCAAGGCGACGAUGCGUAGCCGACCUGAGAGGGUGAUCGGCCACACUGGGACUGAGACACGGCCCAGACUCCUACGGGAGGCAGCAGUAGGGAAUCUUCCGCAAUGGACGAAAGUCUGACGGAGCAACGCCGCGCGAGCGAAGAAGGCCUUCGGGUCGUAAAGCUCUGUUGUUAGGGAAGAACAAGUAACGCAGUAACUGGCGUUACCGUGACGGUACCUAACGAGAAAGCCACGGCUAACUACGUGCCAGCAGCCGCGGUAA
rnacentral:rRNA from 1 species